UUGGGGGCAACUCCAAACUAGUGGCAAACGGGUGAGUAAUGCAGAGGAACCUCCCUAACAGUAAGGAAUAAUUUUGGGAAACCAAAACUAAUACCAUAUAUUACCGACCUAGUCGGGAAAGAUACGUCGCUGUUAGAUGGGCCUCUGUCAGAUUAGCUAGUUGGUGAGGUAAAGGCUCACCAAGGCGACGACGGGUAGCCGGCCUGAGAGGGCGACCGGCCACACUGGGACUGAGACACGGCCCAGACUCC
rnacentral:rRNA from 1 species